rnacentral:sRNA from 1 species
UUUCAUUUUUUCUGCUACCGUGACUAAGAUGGAGGCGUUUUUGGGGUCGCGGUCCGGACUUUGGGCGGGGUGUCCGGCCCCAGGACAGUUUUACCGCAUUCCGUCCACUCCCGAUUCCUUCAUGGAUCCGGCGUCUGCACUUUACAGAGGUCCAAUCACGCGGACCCAGAACCCCAUGGUGACCGGGACCUCAGUCCUCGGCGUUAAGUUCGAGGGCGGAGUGGUGAUUGCCGCAGACAUGCUGGGAUCCUACGGCUCCUUGGCUCGUUUCCGCAACAUCUCUCGCAUUAUGCGAGUCAACAACAGUACCAUGCUGGGUGCCUCUGGCGACUACGCUGAUUUCCAGUAUUUGAAGCAAGUUCUCGGCCAGAUGGUGAUUGAUGAGGAGCUUCUGGGAGAUGGACACAGCUAUAGUCCUAGAGCUAUUCAUUCAUGGCUGACCAGGGCCAUGUACAGCCGGCGCUCGAAGAUGAACCCUUUGUGGAACACCAUGGUCAUCGGAGGCUAUGCUGAUGGAGAGAGGUUCAUAUGAAUACAAAUAACUUAUUUCCUUUACCACCCAACCUAGUACCUGUGUAGUAUCUCUUCUGUCUCUUCUCCCCAAGUGAAUCCCACUUUAACUCAGACCCCAUGGUCCCCUUCUUCAGCUAAGAUGAACCUAAGGUGAAAUGAGUUUUGACCCAUUGUGUCCUGUUAGCUUCCUCGGUUAUGUGGACAUGCUUGGUGUAGCCUAUGAAGCCCCUUCGCUGGCCACUGGUUAUGGUGCAUACUUGGCUCAGGUAAGUAGUAAGUCUAGAGGUGGGGGAAAGGGAAGACAAAAGGAAAUGGAUUAGUGGUUGUCUGCUUUUCUCCUGAAAUUCUGAUAUGAGGGAUGGGCUGGGAUCGCUAUUACUGGGCAGAUGGUUUUCUUUGUAGUCUGGGGGCUGUAGGUGUUGACACUGAUUCCAGUGACAAGAUGACAUGACUGGGAGUCAGUAGACAUGCAA